GCGGGGGCACGGGGGGAGAGUUUGAUCCUGGCUCAGAACGAACGCUGGCGGCAUGCCUAACACAUGCAAGUCGAACGAAGGCCCUGGCUUGCCAGGUGUCCUUAGUGGCGCACGGGUGAGUAACGCGUGGGGACCUGCCCUGGAGUGGGGGAUAACGGCUGGAAACGGCCGCUAAUACCGCAUACGCCCUGAGGGGGAAAGGCUUCGGCCGCUCUUGGAUGGACCCGCGUCGGAUUAGCUUGUUGGUGGGGUAAUGGCCUACCAAGGCGACGAUCCGUAGCUGGUCUGAGAGGAUGAUCAGCCACACUGGGACUGAGACACGGCCCAGACUCCUACGGGAGGCAGCAGUGGGGAAUAUUGGACAAUGGGGGAAACCCUGAUCCAGCAAUGCCGCGUGUGUGAAGAAGGCCUUAGGGUUGUAAAGCACUUUCACCCGCGAAGAUGAUGACUGUACCGGGAGAAGAAGCC
rnacentral:rRNA from 1 species